GAAAUGCGAUAAGUAAUGUGAAUUGCAGAAUUCAGUGAAUCAUCGAAUCUUUGAACGCACCUUUCGCUCCUUGGUAUUCCUUGGAGCAUGCCUUUUUGAGUAUCAUGAAAUCUUCAAAGUAAAUCUUUUGUUAACUCAAUUGGUUUCUACUUUGGUAUUGGAGGUCUUUGCAGCUUCACACCUGCUCCUCUUUGUUCAUUAGCUGGAUCUCAGUGUUAUGCUUGGUUCCACUCGGCGUGAUAAGUUAUCUAUCGCUGAGGACACUGUAAAAGGUGGCCAAGGUAAAUGCAGAUGAACCGCUUCUAAUAGUCCAUUGACUUGGACAAUACUUUUAUGAUCUGAUCUCAAAUCAGGUAGGACUACCCGCUGAACUUAAGC
rnacentral:misc_RNA from 1 species